AGGACGAACGCUGGCGGCGUGCUUAACACAUGCAAGUCGAGCGGAAAGGCCCUUCGGGGUACUCGAGCGGCGAACGGGUGAGUAACACGUGAGCAACCUGCCCUUAGCUCCGGGAUAGCUCCGGGAAACCGGAAUUAAUACCGGAUAUGACCUAGGCCGACAUCGGCUGUGGGUGGAAAGUUUUUCGGCUGGGGAUGGACUCGCGGCCUAUCAGCUUGUUGGUGGGGUAAUGGCCUACCAAGGCGACGACGGGUAGCCGGCCUGAGAGGGCGACCGGCCACACUGGGACUGAGACACGGCCCAGACUCCUACGGGAGGCAGCAGUGAGGAAUUUUCCGCAAUGGACGCAAGUCUGACGGAGCAACGCCGCGUGCAGGAUGACGGCCUUGGUUGUAAACUGCUUUUCUGUGAGACGAGAACGGACGGUAUCACAGGAAUCAGCCCCGGACUAACUACGACGCCAGCAGCCGC
rnacentral:rRNA from 1 species